rnacentral:rRNA from 1 species
UACGUAGGGGCAAGCGUUAUCCGGAUUUACUGGGUGUAAAGGGAGCGCAGACGGCAGUGCAAGUCUGAUGUGAAAGCCCGGGGCUCAACCCCGGAACUGCAUUGGAAACUGUACAGCUUGAGUGUCGUAGAGGUAAGCGGAAUUCCUAGUGUAGCGGUGAAAUGCGUAGAUAUUAGGAGGAACACCGGUGGCGAAGGCGGCUUACUGGACGAUUACUGACGUUGAGGCUCGAAAGCGUGGGGAGCAAACAGGAUUAGAUACCCCUGUAGUCCCU